UCUAUUUAAAUUGUUUAUAUCAUCUUGAUUUAACUUUGAUAAGUGCUACUGAGAAAAUUAUUUCUUUUAGAUUUUCCAGGUUGGUGGUGAACAGAUAUUUAAAGUAUGUUCUUUUCCUUCCCUGGUUUUCCUUGCUGCCUGGCAAUCUUUGGAGCUAGGUUGGAGAUAAAUCCUUUGAACAUAGACAACCAAGAGUGAGAUCUCCAAAAUGACUUGUCUAAUAAGAGGAGGCUAGAACUAUGCACUAAGAGUAAAGCAGAAUAAAAGAUUUUAAUUGAAGAAUAAUUAUGAACUUCCCUUCAUAAUACUUCAGAAUAAUUUGGACUUUUAUAUUUACAUGAUGUGAAGCAAAAUACAGUGGAAAAAUUAUGAACUAUUCUCAAGAGAAUUGACAAAGCAUAGGUGAGGUUUAAUGAACUAUGGAUAAAGAAAAUACAAAAUAGGAAAGGUCCCAGACACCUUGUUCUUCAACAGGGUCCCUUACUGACCUGAAGGGAUCUGAUUAGCCUAUUAUGCUUUGCCAC